GUCUGACUGGCUCAGUUGGUGGAGCAUAUGACUCCUGAUCUUGGGGUUGUGAGUUCAAGCCCCAUGUUGGGUG
rnacentral:tRNA from 1 species